AAAUCUAAUUUUGUUUAAGUAAUUGUUUCGAUUUUAUUAGUAAUAAGAUUUCGGAAAAAGAAUUUAUUUUCUAAAAAGAAAUUUUUUUUUCCUUCUCUUCUCUCAAAUACGAUUGCCACCGUUCAGGCCACCGCGCCGGAAAUAGCUUAGUCCAAAAAUCAUACACUUUCAAAUCCUUAACGAACUCCAUCCAAAGCCAAUGAACAACAAUAAACGUCAAUAGUCAAUAACCAAUCAAACAAUUUUUUUUAAAAAAAGGAAAGACCCUGUUUUGAAGACCUUUUUUCGAUCAAGGUCUGAUUCAUGGAGAUCUCGUCACUUUCUUGACGAUUCGGAUGUUGAAGCUCAAGUCCAUGAUGCGGUAGAUAACAUAUUGGAAACCCGCUGCCAUCCGACGAUAGAGCUACGAGAUCGAAAAGAGAAUAGUUCGGGUUUAAAGGUUAAAUUUUGAACUAAUUGUGCUGAAUUCUCAAAGAUCGAAACCGUUGAAAUUCGCGAGAGGAAGAAAAUAGAGUAAUUAGUGGUACCCGAUCAGAGUUUAAACGCCGGAGAUGAUAGCUCUCAACUGUCUUUAUGGCGAUGCUGAGGUUUCGAGAAAAAAAAAAGAAACAUAAGGGGAGAGAGAGAAGGAAGACGCCAGCACAGAUUAAGGACACCGACAGUGUGAACGGAUCAGGGACUGCUACAACAGCGUGGCUUGAAGGAAGGUGGCUAGGGUUUUUGUGUUGAAGAAAAAGAAAGAAGAAAAAAAGAAAAUAAAAUUGAAGGAAAGAAACUAUAAAGGGAAAUAA
rnacentral:lncRNA from 1 species